CAAUAGCGUAUAUUAAAGUUGUUGCAGUUAAAAAGCUCGUAGUUGGAUUUCUGAUCGAGACAUCAGGUCGGGUCCGAGAGGAUCAUGUACUUUGAUUUUGUUUUGAUCAUCCUUGGGGAGAGCAUUUCUGGCAUUCAGUUGUCGGGAUUGGGAUCCUCAUCGUUUACUGUGAAAAAAUUGGAGUGUUCAAAGCAGGCCUCGGCCUCUGAAUACAUUAGCAUGGAAUAAUAAGAUAGGACUUUGGUGGUCUAUUUUGUUGGUUUGCACGCCAAAGUAAUGAUUAAUAGGGAUAGUUGGGGGUAUUCGUACUCAAUUGUCAGAGGUGAAAUUCUUGGAUUUAUGGAAGACGAACUACUGCGAAAGCAUUUACCAAGGAUGUUUUCAUUAA
rnacentral:rRNA from 1 species